rnacentral:rRNA from 1 species
AGAGUUUGAUCCUGGCUCAGGACGAACGCUGGCGGCGUGCCUAAUACAUGCAAGUAGAACGCUGAAGAGAGGAGCUUGCUCUUCUUGGAUGAGUUGCGAACGGGUGAGUAACGCGUAGGUAACCUGCCUUGUAGCGGGGGAUAACUAUUGGAAACGAUAGCUAAUACCGCAUAACAAUGGAUGACCCAUGUCAUUUAUUUGAAAGGGGCAAAUGCUCCACUACAAGAUGGACCUGCGUUGUAUUAGCUAGUAGGUGAGGUAACGGCUCACCUAGGCGACGAUACAUAGCCGACCUGAGAGGGUGAUCGGCCACACUGGGACUGAGACACGGCCCAGACUCCUACGGGAGGCAGCAGUAGGGAAUCUUCGGCAAUGGGGGCAACCCUGACCGAGCAACGCCGCGUGAGUGAAGAAGGUUUUCGGAUCGUAAAGCUCUGUUGUAAGUCAAGAACGAGUGUGAGAGUGGAAAGUUCACACUGUGACGGUAGCUUACCAGAAAGGGACGGCUAACUACGUGCCAGCAGCCGCGGUAAUACGUAGGUCCCGAGCGUUGUCCGGAUUUAUUGGGCGUAAAGCGAGCGCAGGCGGUUUGAUAAGUCUGAAGUUAAAGGCUGUGGCUCAACCAUAGUUCGCUUUGGAAACUGUCAAACUUGAGUGCAGAAGGGGAGAGUGGAAUACCAUGUGUAGCGGUGAAAUGCGUAGAUAUAUGGAGGAACACCGGUGGCGAAAGCGGCUCUCUGGUCUGUAACUGACGCUGAGGCUCGAAAGCGUGGGGAGCGAACAGGAUUAGAUACCCUGGUAGUCCACGCCGUAAACGAUGAGUGCCAGGUGUUGGAUCCUUUCCGGGAUUCAGUGCCGCAGCUAACGCGUUAAGCACUCCGCCUGGGGAGUACGACCGCAAGGUUGAAACUCAAAGGAAUUGACGGGGGCCCGCACAAGCGGUGGAGCAUGUGGUUUAAUUCGAAGCAACGCGAAGAACCUUACCAGGUCUUGACAUCCCGAUGCUAUUUCUAGAGAUAGAAAGUUACUUCGGUACAUCGGUGACAGGUGGUGCAUGGUUGUCGUCAGCUCGUGUCGUGAGAUGUUGGGUUAAGUCCCGCAACGAGCGCAACCCCUAUUGUUAGUUGCCAUCAUUCAGUUGGGCACUCUAGCGAGACUGCCGGUAAUAAACCGGAGGAAGGUGGGGAUGACGUCAAAUCAUCAUGCCCCUUAUGACCUGGGCUACACACGUGCUACAAUGGUUGGUACAACGAGUUGCGAGUCGGUGACGGCAAGCUAAUCUCUUAAAGCCAAUCUCAGUUCGGAUUGUAGGCUGCAACUCGCCUACAUGAAGUCGGAAUCGCUAGUAAUCGCGGAUCAGCACGCCGCGGUGAAUACGUUCCCGAGCCUUGUACACACCGCCCGUCACACCACGAGAGUUUGUAACACCCGAAGUCGGUGAGGUAACCUUUUGGAGCCAGCCGCCUAAGGUGGGAUAGAUGAUUGGGGUGAAGUCGUAACAAGGUA